UUUUUUUUUUUUUUUUUUGAUUUUUCGCCAACUUUUCUGCUAGAAAUCUUUCUCCGAUUUUUCAGUUUAGUACUUUUUCUAAAAUAAAAUAUUUGACUGAGGAGGUAGUUUAAAGAGUUAUUUCUAAAUAAAAAAUGAAUUUUGAUCAUAAUCGUUUUUCAUUAGUAUUGUUAUAUUGUUAUGUACAAAUAUAAAAUAAUCAACCUAUGAACCCUACUUUAACUCCCUAC